CUUAUCUCUUUUAGUUAUCUGCUGUGUUUGUAUCUUAUUUAACUGCCUUACUUAAAAAUCAAUACACAGGGAGCGUGGCUUGCCGGUUCAUGGAUUAAGUUGCACACCAGAGAGGCCCACAUAGCCCCAAAUAAUAGCCUUCCUACUGCUACUCAUGAGGAAUCCAAGACGCCUAGGUACUCCUGGACCCUCCUGCACAAGCCCACAGAGGAGAAACACAGGCCCCAUGCAUGAACUCUAAAUGAAAUGAAGUCUCCGAACUCGAGGCUGAAAAUUUGCAGGCCAGACAGCACUCACAAGCCACAGAUCAUGCUACGGCCAGACACACUAUAAGGUUUUUUACUGUAAGAACAAUAAGGAUG